rnacentral:rRNA from 1 species
GAUGAACGCUGGCGGCGUGCCUAAUACAUGCAAGUCGAGCGAAGCGGGGACGGGUGAGUAAAACGUGGAUAACCUCCUAUAAGACUGGGAUAAAUUCGGGAAACCGGAGCUAAACCGGAUAAUUAUCGCUGGAGCGGCGCUGCAUUAGCUAGUUGGUAGGGUAACGGCUUACCAAGGCAACGAUGCAUAGCCGACCUGAGAGGAUGACCGGCCACACUGGAACUGAGAAACGGUCCAGACUCCUACGGGAGGCAGCAGUAGGGAAUCUUCCGCAAUGGGCGAAAGCCUGACAGAGCAACGCCGCGUGAGUGAUGAAGGUCUUCGGAUCGUAAAACUCUGUUAUUAGGGAGGCGUUACCUGAACAGAAAGCCACGGCUAACUACGUGCCAGCAGCCGCGGUAAUAC